CCUACGGGAGGCAGCAGUGGGGAAUUUUGGACAAUGGGCGAAAGCCUGAUCCAGCCAUGCCGCGUGAGUGAAGAAGGCCUUCGGGUUGUAAAGCUCUUUCGGCGGGGAAGAAAUCGGGUUUCCUAAUACGGAACCCGGAUGACGGUACCCGAAGAAGAAGCACCGGCUAACUACGUGCCAGCAGCCGCGGUAAUACGUAGGGUGCAAGCGUUAAUCGGAAUUACUGGGCGUAAAGCGUGCGCAGGCGGUUGUGUAAGACAGACGUGAAAUCCCCGGGCUCAACCUGGGAACUGCGUUUGUGACUGCACAGCUAGAGUACGGCAGAGGGGGGUGGAAUUCCACGUGUAGCAGUGAAAUGCGUAGAGAUGUGGAGGAACACCGAUGGCGAAGGCAGCCCCCUGGGCCAAUACUGACGCUCAUGCACGAAAGCGUGGGGAGCAAACAGGAUUAGAUACCCUGGUAGUCCACGCCCUAAACGAUGUCAACUAGGUGUUGGUGGGGUUAAACCCAUUAGUGCCGUAGCUANCGCGUGAAGUUGACCGCCUGGGGAGUACGGCGGCAAGGUUAAAACUCAAAGGAAUUGACGGGGAACCGCACAAGCGGUGGAUGAUGUGGAUUAAUUCGAU
rnacentral:rRNA from 1 species